AGUCGAGCGGAUGAAGAGAGCUUGCUCUCUGAUUCAGCGGCGGACGGGUGAGUAAUGCCUAGGAAUCUGCCUGGUAGUGGGGGACAACGUCUCGAAAGGGACGCUAAUACCGCAUACGUCCUACGGGAGAAAGCAGGGGACCUUCGGGCCUUGCGCUAUCAGAUGAGCCUAGGUCGGAUUAGCUAGUUGGUGAGGUAAUGGCUCACCAAGGCGACGAUCCGUAACUGGUCUGAGAGGAUGAUCAGUCACACUGGAACUGAGACACGGUCCAGACUCCUACGGGAGGCAGCAGUGGGGAAUAUUGGACAAUGGGCGAAAGCCUGAUCCAGCCAUGCCGCGUGUGUGAAGAAGGUCUUCGGAUUGUAAAGCUCUUUUGUCAGGGAAGAAACGGCUUGGGUUAAUACCUUGGGCUAAUGACGGUACCUGAAGAAUAAGCACCGGCUAACUACGUGCCAGCAGCCGCGGUAAUACGUAGGGUGCAAGCGUUAAUCGGAAUUACUGGGCGUAAAGCGUGCGCAGGCGGUUUUGUAAGUCUGUCGUGAAAGCCCCGGGCUUAACCUGGGAAUUGCGAUGGAGACUGCAAGGCUUGAAUCUGGCAGAGGGGGGUAGAAUUCCACGUGUAGCAGUGAAAUGCGUAGAGAUGUGGAGGAACACCGAUGGCGAAGGCAGCCCCCUGGGUCAAGAUUGACGCUCAUGCACGAAAGCGUGGGGAGCAAACAGGAUUAGAUACCCUGGUAGUCCACGCCCUAAACGAUGUCUACUAGUUGUCGGGUUUUAAUUAACUUGGUAACGCAGCUAACGCGUGAAGUAGACCGCCUGGGGAGUACGGUCGCAAGAUUAAAACUCAAAGGAAUUGAC
rnacentral:rRNA from 1 species